UACGUAGGGGGCAAGCGUUGUCCGGAUUUAUUGGGCGUAAAGAGCGUGUAGGCGGCCAUACAGGUCAGCUGUGAAAGCCCGAGGCUUAACCUCGGAGGGUCGGUGGAUACUGGCAGUCUUGAAGGUGGUAGAGGGAAGUGGAAUUACCGGUGUAGCGGUGAAAUGCGUAGAUAUCGGUAGGAACACCAGUGGCGAAGGCGGCUUCCUGGCCCACUCUUGACGCUGAGGCGCGAAAGCUGGGGGAGCGAACGGG
rnacentral:rRNA from 1 species